UCGAGGAGAAGGUGAAGACGUAGAGGAAUCGCCGAGAUCUUCACCUCACCCGAAACCCUAGAAGCUUUAGAGCCCUCUUUCUCCGGUUGUUAGUCCAAGAACAGCGAGAUAAAGGAAAAGCCAAAUAGAUAUGAAAAGAGGCGACAAGGGAAGGCUUGAUGGGCAUGUGAUGUCUGGACUGUGGAGUGAUCUAAGAAGUUGUUAAUUCUUUUUAUUAAGAGUCUUAAUUGUUAAAAGAAUUUAAAACUUGUAUAUGCUAUUUUCUUGGGAUUGUUUUA